ensembl:lncRNA
ACUACUCUGAAUUUUCACUGUGUUUUAAAAAGUCCCACUUCUGUCAUCCAUCCGCUGAUUCUUAUACACAGAGACUGCAGACUUGUAGCACGUCUGUGCCGUUGUUUUCCAUUAAAUAACAUUUACUGUGACACCCGAGUGUCAACAUCCUUUGGGAAUUUAAAAAAAAACAACCUCUGUGGUCAAAGAGUGGUGACAAUAAAUGUUUCGCAUACUUCUGUAAUCAGAAACAAAAUUACCAAAUCCCGACUGGUCCGGCUGCGGGUUGUUCCUGUUGUCCACCUGCACUCUUUCCUUCCCUCUCCCCCCAGAGAGGAGGCUCCCUGCUGGGUGUCAGUGGAGCAGAGUCCGUUCGUCCUCGGCCUGACCAGUGAAAACGGAGAGCUGCUGCUGGACGAAGGCGUUCAGGUCACGGAGGGCUCCAAGAUCAAGGAGAGGCACCUGUUCCUCUUCAGCAACGUCCUCGUCUUCUCCAAAUCCAAGUCGACCACCGGCUACCGCCUGAAGCGCCGAGUGAGCCUCCAGGACGUUUGGCUCUACGGGUUUGAAGAUGAGGCGGUGGGAGAGGAGGGAGCGACGGGCGACAUCGACCUCAGGGUGACGCUCGUCUUGGCCUGGGAUCUCACCGUUUCUCUGGUGUGUUUCUGCUCGCCUGAGGUGAAAGAACGCUGGUUAGAUAUUCUUCACCGGUAAGAAAGAACAU